rnacentral:rRNA from 1 species
GACGAACGCUGGCGGCGUGCCUAAUACAUGCAAGUAGAACGCUGAAGGAGGAGCUUGCUUCUCUGGAUGAGUUGCGAACGGGUGAGUAACGCGUAGGUAACCUGCCUGGUAGCGGGGGAUAACUAUUGGAAACGAUAGCUAAUACCGCAUAAUAGUAGAUGUUGCAUGACAUUUGCUUAAAAGGUGCAAUUGCAUCACUACCAGAUGGACCUGCGUUGUAUUAGCUAGUUGGUGAGGUAACGGCUCACCAAGGCGACGAUAUAUAGCCGACCUGAGAGGGUGAUCGGCCACACUGGGACUGAGACACGGCCCAGACUCCUACGGGAGGCAGCAGUAGGGAAUCUUCGGCAAUGGACGGAAGUCUGACCGAGCAACGCCGCGUGAGUGAAGAAGGGUUUCGGAUCGUAAAGCUCUGUUGUAAGAGAAGAACGAGUGUGAGAGUGGAAAGUUCACACUGUGACGGUAUCUUACCAGAAAGGGACGGCUAACUACGUG